ACCAUUCACUAGUUUUGGAAUCAGUAAGAUUUUUUUCUUUUAUGAUCACCAAGGAUGCAAUUAUUUGAUUAAGAACAUACUAAAACAAUAAUAUUGUGAAAUAUUAUUACAGUUUAAAAUAACUGUUUUCUAUUGUAAUAUAUUAUAAAAAUGUAAUUUAUUCCUGUGAUCAAAGCUGAAUUUUCAGCAUCAGCAUCAUAUUCAGUCUUCAGUGUCACGUGAUCCUUUAGAAAUCAUGCUAAUAUGCUGAUUUGUCAUUAUCAAUGCCAGCAUUUAGCAUUCUGUGAUGAAUAGAAAAUGCAAAAGAAAAGCAUUUAUUUGAAAUAGAAAACCUUUUGUAGCAAUAUUAAUGUUUUCACUGUCACUUUUGAUCAAUUUAGUAUGAACUUGCUAAAUACAAGUCUUGUUUUCUUUCAAAACAUUCAUUAGGUAUUGGAAAAUGUCUGUUUGACAAGGUCUUUGUACUGAUAUUUUAUUAUGACUGACAUUUUGACCACUGUCAUGAUGCUCUUAGGAAUUCUGCCACGGCUUCUGCAACAGGAAGGAAAUGCACAUACAGCUGAGCAGCGCUACUUAUGAGCACCUGAAAGGAAGUCACUUUAUCUUCGAGAGACACGGUACCAUCACCAUCAAGGGGAAUGUGGAGAUUGAGACAUACUGGCUGAAAGGAAAGCGAGAUAAUGAUGGAAACGCUCAGGCCGCCUGCCCGCAGUUUGAAGCCCAGACCAUCAGUAAAGCUGCCAUCUCUGCCCCCGAACCACCCAUCGAUGAGGAAGUUCUGGUAAAUGCAUGA
ensembl:lncRNA